AGCAUUGAGCGGCGCCGAGAUCGUCUCCCAUGUUCUGGCUAGCCUCUACCUCGACUAUAACCCUGUCGUGCCAGCGCUUGCAGCUCGGGUUGAAUCCGUGGCUGUCCAAGAGCUCUAUAACUAGCUGCUAAGUUUCGACU